rnacentral:rRNA from 1 species
ACACCACGAGUUCAGGAUUCGAGCGACGGAAGACAAGGCGAAUGAGCAUGGCACUCGGUGGUACUUUAAAAGACAUGCCCUUACCAGAGGACGAGGACGAGGAGC